AGUUUUAUUCUGAAUGAAAUGCUUUGAGUUUAUCACAAUCUCAUUCCCCCCUUUUCUGGAAAAUCUUAGUAAAUUCUUUUACUUAAUAUAAAAAUUUUUCUUCCCAAGCUCUGUGAUAUGUAUCCCUCAAUACCUUGCCUUGUACUUUCGUCAAGGAAGCUAAUAUUGCCAUUCAUUGUAACAAUUUCCAAU